rnacentral:rRNA from 1 species
CCUACGGGGGGCAGCAGUGGGGAAUAUUGCGCAAUGGACGCAACUCUGAUCCAGCGACGCCGCGUGAGUGAAGAAGGAUUUCGGGUUGUAAACUUCUUUUAGGAGGGAAGAGGAAAAGACGGUACCCCUUGAAUAAGCCCCGGCUAACUACGUGCCAGCAGCCGCGGUAAUACGUAGGUGGCAAGCGUUGUCCGGAAUUACUGGGUGUAAAGGGAGCGCAGCCGGGCCUGCAAGUCCGGUGUGGAAUCCGGGAGCUUAACCGGCGAACUGCCGUUGAAACUAUAAGUCUUGAGUGCCGGAGAGGUAAUCGGAAUUCCUGGUGUAGCGGUGAAAUGCGUAGAUAUAAGGAAGAACACCAGUGGCGAAGGCGGAUUACUGGACGGUAACUGACGGUGAGGCGCGAAAGCGUGGGGAGCAAACAGGAUUAGAUACCCUUGUAGUC